UACGUAGGGGGCAAGCGUUGUCCGGAUUUAUUGGGCGUAAAGAGCGUGUAGGCGGCUAGAUAGGUCCGUUGUGAAAACUGGAGGCUCAACCUCCAGCUGUCGAUGGAAACCAUCUGGCUAGAGUCCGGAAGAGGAGAGUGGAAUUCCUGGUGUAGCGGUGAAAUGCGCAGAUAUCAGGAAGAACCCCCGGGGCGAGGGCGGCUCUCUGGACGUGACUGACGCUGAGACGCGAAAGCGUGGGGAGCGAACAGG
rnacentral:rRNA from 1 species